UUGCUGAGAAGCACUCCACAAGCACACACUCUCGUUAUUCCACUCCACACAACUGUACACUUUUUACACAAAGUUCUGCUAAUUUAACCCUUAUGUGAAACAGUUAAAUAGCAACUCCUAGUGAGACAGCAGGCGGAAAGAUUUGAAGGAAAACUGUUGCUGCCACAAGGGAAGUUUGAUGGCAGGACUUGGAGUGUGUAUGCAUGAUGUACUAAUUGAAGCAUUAGUACAGUUUCUUUGGGGGGGUGUCAGAUGAGUGUAGAGGAACCCCCUACUCUCCACCUUUGCCUAGGGCAAUGUCUGCAUCAGAGAUUGGUGCCAACGUAAUAAUCAGCCUCACAGAAAGUUGGAUUCAGAGUCUGGAAAGAUGGAAGAUAAAAUCUUUACAGCCUAUGGAUAGACCCUCCUUUCCAGACUUCAGCGUUUGGAAUCUUAGUACAAUUUCUAUACCAAAGGUGCUUGCCAAAUGAAACUCUGGAUUUACAACAAAUUGUGUUUUGAAAAAUACUGUAUUUUCCAGGCAUAUUUAAAUUGCUCCAGUUCAAAUAAGCCGGUAAUAAGCCAAACCACCUGUCUCAUAGAGAGCUGGAGAGAGAGAAGGGUCAGCAAGGGAAAUGAUAAAAUAAACAAAUCACUGCUAUGAAAAUUUAUAUGGCUCACCCCGCCUCUGAAAUGAGAGUUCAAAAUAGAAAUGCUUGCUCCUUAACACAGGUUAUCAUAACGAGAUGCAUUUAAUACAUGAGUUUGCUGG
rnacentral:lncRNA from 1 species